UAAUACAGAGGGUGCAAGCGUUAAUCGGAAUUACUGGGCGUAAAGCGUGCGUAGACGGUUGCGUAAGUCAGAUGUGAAGGCCCCGGGCUCAACCUGGGAAUUGCAUUUGAGACUGCGUAGCUAGGGUGCGGAAGAGGGAAGCGGAAUUUCCGGUGUAGCGGUGAAAUGCGUAGAUAUCGGAAGGAACACCAGUGGCGAAAGCGGCUUCCUGGUCCAGCACCGACGUUCAGGCACGAAAGCGUGGGGAGCAAACAGGAUUAGAUACCCUGGUAGUCCACGCCAUAAACGAUGAGGACUAGACGUUGAGAGGGUAAGCCUCCCAGUGUCGCAGCUAACGCGAUAAGUCCUCCGCCUGGGGAGUACGGCCGCAAGGUU
rnacentral:rRNA from 1 species